rnacentral:rRNA from 1 species
UAGGGAAUCUUCGGCAAUGGACGGAAGUCUGACCGAGCAACGCCGCGUGAGUGAAGAAGGUUUUCGGAUCGUAAAGCUCUGUUGUUAGAGAAGAACGUUGGUAGGAGUGGAUAAUCUACCAAGUGACGGUAACUAACCAGAAAGGGACGGCUAACUACGUGCCAGCAGCCGCGGUAAUACGUAGGUCCCGAGCGUUGUCCGGAUUUAUUGGGCGUAAAGCGAGCGCAGGCGGUUCUUUAAGUCUGAAGUUAAAGGCAGUGGCUUAACCAUUGUACGCUUUGGAAACUGGAGGACUUGAGUGCAGAAGGGGAGAGUGGAAUUCCAUGUGUAGCGGUGAAAUGCGUAGAUAUAUGGAGGAACACCGGUGGCGAAAGCGGCUCUCUGGUCUGUAACUGACGCUGAGGCUCGAAAGCGUGGGGAGCAAACAGG